rnacentral:rRNA from 1 species
AUUGAACGCUGGCGGCAGGCCUAACACAUGCAAGUCGAGCGGAGCGGCGGACGGGUGAGUAAUGCCUAGGAAUCUGCCUGGUAGUGGGGGCUAACGUCCGGUAACGGGCGCUAAUACCGCCUACUAUCCGAUUAGCCUUGGUCGGAUUUGCUAGUUGGUGGGGUAAAGGCCUACCAAGGCGACGAACCGUAACUGGUCUGAGAGGAUGCUGAGUCACACUGGAACUGAGACACGGUCGAGACUCCUACGGGAGGCAGCAGGGGGGAAUAUGGGAGAAUGGGCGAAAGCCUGAUCCAGCUAUGCCGCGUGUGUGAAGAAGGUCUUCGGAUUGUAAAGCACUUUAAGUUGGGAGGCGUUACCAACAGAAUAAGCACCGGCUAACUGCGUGCCAGCAGCCGCGGUAAUAC